GAAGAAGAAUGGAGAAACUCCUGGAAGUGUCUUUGGUGAUUCUAUGGCUUCAACUGGCCAGGGUGAACAGCCAACAAGGAGAACAGAAUCUUCAGACCCUGAGUAUCCAGGAGGGUGAAAAUGUCACCAUGAACUGCAGUUAUAAAACUACUAUAACCAACUUACGGUGGUAUAGACAAGAUGCAGGUAGAGGCCUUGCACAACUGAUUUUAAUACGUUCAAAUGAAAGAGAGAAACCUGGUGGAAGACUACAAGUCACGCUUGACACCUCCAGCAAAAGCAGCUCCCUGUCCAUCACGGCUUCCCGGGCUGCAGACUCUGCUGCUUACUUCUGUGCUGUGGAGGCACAGUGUUCACCAGGCACCUGCAGCCCCUACAAGAACUCUGAGGAGCCACCUCUUAGGAGCCCCAACAGUGGGUAUACUUGGGUUAUGUCUUCCCAUGAAAGAGAGUCUACAAAUAGCUGGAAACAUGAAAGGAAGGCACUCUCAAAUUUGUGUUUCUUUGGGAGCACCUUGGACUAG